rnacentral:rRNA from 1 species
GACGAACGCUGGCGGCGUGCUUAACACAUGCGAGUCGAACGGAAAGGCCCUGCUUUUGUGGGGUGCUCGAGUGGCGAACGGGUGAGUAACACGUGAGUAACCUGCCCUUGACUUUGGGAUAACUUCAGGAAACUGGGGCUAAUACCGGAUAGGAGCUCCUGCUGCAUGGUGGGGGUUGGAAAGUUUCGGCGGUUGGGGAUGGACUCGCGGCUUAUCAGCUUGUUGGUGGGGUAGUGGCUUACCAAGGCUUUGACGGGUAGCCGGCCUGAGAGGGUGACCGGCCACAUUGGGACUGAGAUACGGCCCAGACUCCUACGGGAGGCAGCAGUGGGGAAUAUUGCACAAUGGGCGGAAGCCUGAUGCAGCAACGCCGCGUGCGGGAUGACGGCCUUCGGGUUGUAAACCGCUUUCGCCUGUGACGAAGCGUGAGUGACGGUAAUGGGUAAAGAAGCACCGGCUACUACGUG